GAUGAACCUGCGUCCUAUUAGCUUGUUGGUAGGGUAACGGCCUACCAAGGCGACGAUGGGUAGCUGGUCUGAGAGGAUGAUCAGCCACACUGGCACUGAGACACAGGCCAGACUCCUACGGGAGGCAGCAGUGAGGAAUAUUGGGCAAUGGACGAAAGUCUGACCCAGCAACGCCGCGUGGGCGAUGAAGAUCUGAGGAUCGUAAAGCCCUGUUGAGAGGGACGAAACCCCGACUUGUCGGGUUUGACGGUACCUUUAUAGAAAGCUCCGGCUAACUCCGUGCCAGCAGCCGCGGUAACACGGGGGGAGCAAGCGUUGUACGGAUUUAUUGGGCGUAAAGCGCGUGUAGGCGGGACAAUAAGUCAGAGGUGAAAUCUUUAGGCUUAACCUAAAAACUGCCUCUGAUACUGUUGUUCUUGAGUGCGGAAGAGGGAAGCGGAAUUCCAGGUGUAGCGGUGAAAUGCGUAGAUAUCUGGAAGAACACCAGUAGCGAAGGCGGCUUCCUGGUCCGCAACUGACGCUGAGACGCGAAAGCGUGGGGAGCAAACAGGAUUAGAU
rnacentral:rRNA from 1 species